rnacentral:rRNA from 1 species
AGUGAACGCUGGCGGCAGGCCUAAUACAUGCAAGUCGAACGGCAGCACAGCAGAGCUUGCUCUGUGGGUGGCGAGUGGCGGACGGGUGAGGAAUACAUGGGAAUCUGCCCAGUCGUGGGGGAUAACGUAGGGAAACUUACGCUAAUACCGCAUGCGCCCUUCGGGGGAAAGCCGGGGACCUUCGGGCCUGGCGCGAUUGGAUGAGCCCAUGUCGGAUUAGCUAGUUGGUGGGGUAAAGGCCCACCAAGGCGACGAUCCGUAGCUGGUCUGAGAGGAUGAUCAGCCACACUGGAACUGAGACACGGUCCAGACUCCUACGGGUGGCAG